CUUAAUGGUGUCUAGUGAAAUAUUCAAACUUGGCGGGAUGGUAAUGCGGGAUUAAAUAAUCUAAUGCCAAGAUGCUAUACUGACAAGGUGGUUAAAGACACAGCCACUCACAUGGGAGACCCUGGUUCGAAUCCAGUGAGGGCAACAACAUUUAUCACUUAAUUGCAGGCCUGCUGAAGUAGGCUUGCCUGGUUCUUUUCCUGGUUUGUCCGGAUGACUAAAGAUCUGGAAAAUGUCUGGUCCUCACCCACUCCGUUCCAACUUUACACCACAGUGUGAAUUUGGAGAUCCCUUGACAAGUAUUGCUUAGGCUGCACAUUCUUGAAACAACUCAUAAACACCUUGUUUGACUUCAGCCUAUAGGAGCUGUCCUACUAUAAAAGCUAGAAAAUGUGAAGUAGCCUUGUCUUUUAUGGUUAGCUCUACAUCAUUCUCCAUUUGAUUGGUAGGGAUAUGAUUAUCUUUGCAUAGCCAGAGAAGGUGACACAUUUAAUAUUAUGGCAACAGAUGGAGGCCUGCGUUUUUCUUGCAAAUACUUCUGAAAUUGCCCUUUUGGUGGCAGUAUAAAAAUGAUGCAGUAGACAGUAGGUGAACAAGGCAUUGGAUCGCAGCGACGCGCAAGGACAAAACGUCCAUAUAUAGCCCUAUUGCAAAGGAAAUCACAUCCCGCCCUACCUCCACUGACUACCACGGUGCCACCAGUGAUUGAUCUACGCCUGGCCUCUGCUUAGGGAUGUUUGUUGGCAUACACGAGACGCUGCUGUGCACAUAAUUUAUGACAGAAAAAAUAGAAAACAAUGCAUGAUACAACCCCGUUGGGCUCAGUUUCCAAUAUGGCACGAUCGUUUCCCUAGCGUAGAUACAUCAUUUUCAGUCAUGUGAGCAAUAGUCAAUGUCAGAGAAGAAGAUGGGGCUAUAAAAAAGUGAGGUAGGGUGUUGGAACAACAGCGGGGGUAUGGAGAGAGAGAAGGGACAUCUCUCUUGUGCAUUGAGGAAAGGGUAGUAACGUCACACGCUAGCUUCUUAAGCAAAACCCCAGCAUACAGUUACCCACACCAGUUUUCAUUAUCAUAUUGAUUGAAACAGUUCAUCAGAGUGUAAUUUUAGGUUGAGGGCCAUCGGGUUGGGAAGGAGAGCAGAGAAUUGGCUAACAAAAGAACAGCAUUGUUCCACCGGGACGUUUCUCUGUUCCAGUUCAUUGAUGGAGUUGAUUAAGUUUAAAUGAAGCAGACACUGGAUAAAAGUGAGGGUAUUGACCAGCGGGCGCUGUGCUGUUGCGCUUGAAAAAGCCUGAUACACGCGGAAUAGCAAGAUUUGCUAAAUGCUCUAAUCUUCAAUCAAAUCUAACAUCAAUACAGACAAAGUUUGGUAAGUCCAAAUACAUUGCUUUGGCCUUUCCUUCCAACGGCAUCGGCAACACCUCCUUUGGGCAUGUUCGCUUCUGCUUUUUUCCCAAGCAAUCGACAGCAGAUACAACCCAGGAGAUGUGCUAUAAAACAAACUGCGCUCUCAAAG
ensembl:lncRNA